GCGCCCGCCGCGGGCGGCACUGACCAGGGGCCGCCGGCUCCCGCUCCCGGCCCCCGCCCGCCGCCCGAACCGCGGGAAAACGGCGUCACCGCCACCGCUCCGUCACUUCCGCGCCGGCGGCCGCGCCCCCGCCCCGCCCGUCGGCCGCGGACACGGGGCGGGACCGAGCGGCAGCGGCGGCGCGGCCGCGCACAGCGGGCACCGCGGCCCGGCCUCAGAGAGCCGCCCGGCCCUCGGCCGCCGCACGGACGGCAGCCCAUCCGUGCCGUGCGUGACACUUCAGAUGAUACCAGAUGCUGUGGAAGGUUUCGAGUUUAGGACAGUCUAUCAUCUACAGUUGAACCACAGACAAGUAGAGAGACCUACCAGCUUGGAAAAGUAAGCUAAACCCCUAAACCACAGCUGAGUCCAUUGCCUUCUCCUCACAAAUGGAUUUAAGAGCACGAAAGAAUUUAAAACAAGAGCAAAACAUUUCAGAAAACUUGGUCAUAGCCAGUGGAGACCAUGCCAGCUGUCUUCAAGAAGGAAACACACCCUCCUGGGUGGCUUCCCUCGCAGCUGCCUUAACGUGCUGUUAGAGCCAGGCCCUGGAUUGUCCAGAUGGCAGGCAAAGAAUUUGUUUCGUGGCCCUCUGUGCUCUGCUCCCUUUAAAGAGUUCACAAACCAGCUUCAGUGUAAAUACUAAGUUUUUUAAAUUGUUAGUGCACCAAGCACCUUCUCAAGUCAAAUUUUAUGCACUUUUUCAUCAAGCAAGGCUCUUAGGGCUCCCCUUCAUAAACAGGUAAAACCAAAAUAUAAUCUCAGCAUGCUUCAGGUUACAGCUGGAGGGAGACGAAGGGAGGUAGCAGAUGAAUCAAGCAACAAUAACCUUUAAUCAUCUAUCCUGAAGCCUUGGCUAUAGUAACUACAUCUAAACUGCAGUAAGAAGAGUUAACAUGUAUGUAUGUACUUCCAAAGAAAGGCACAUCCUUGUGUAAAACCAUAUUUAAAUUGCUGCACUUUUUUCCCUUCUCCUUUUUAGAAGUACUGAUUUGAAUGUUUUAAUCCUGUAUAAAUGAAGCCUUUAGACUUUUCAAAUAAAUUACAAAGGAAAGAAAAAAUCAGCUCCUACUGGGAAAAAAAAAAAGAAACAAAAGAAACACUGCAAGGUCAAAUAAAGUAUUAAUGAUAAUUUUCACAUCUGACCUGACAAAAUCUUUAUUCUAAACAUCUUGCUACAACUGCUUUUAGAGUAUAGGUCAUAGACAUAUGGGAAACAUUGUCCAGUCAGGCAGUCCUGACUCAUUGUUUCCAGCUGCUACACAACCUUAGGUAAUUUUAUUAUCCUAAUUUUUUCACUUAAAACUGUUGCUAUAGUUUCAUGGUAAUUGCCAGUGGGAAUAAAAGCCAUGAUUUCAAUUAUAGUAAAAUCAGUUUUCCUGAAGUUGCAUGACUGAAAUGUAUGCAUUUAAAAAUCCACUAAGUUGAGAGCUUCUGGAUAUUAGUCCGAAUACUAAUUAUUGGCAGAAUUUUUGCUUGAAUAAAGCCCCUGGGCUGUAAAACUCACAGAUUAUAAAGACGUCUGCCUGAAUCACACCCAUUUUCCUGCAUGUAACAGGCAGAAUUAACCAGUGAGGGGGCAUAGCCUCUCCUGCCAGCCUUUUCUGUGCAUUCACAUUCCUUGCAGAGUGUAGUGGCCCCCAGCCCCCUGCCAUCAGUGUAACCUGGAGCCCAGCUGUCCCUCUCAAGCCCCAGCACAAGUGCUAAUGGGAGCAAGGAGGUGACAAACCUGCAGGCCAACUUUUCGCCAGCUGCUGCCCUACAGGCCCCAGGCCUUAAGAAGAACCUCGCUGGAGAAACACCUGGAGCAGCAGACAGACCCAAGUGACAGUCUGGCUGCAGGAGUGCCUCAGGGACACUCAGGCCAUGGCUCGAACAGGCCCUUUCCACGCCACAGCAUCACCUCCCCUGGUAACGCUGUGAUUGCAUUGGCAUCAGCUCUGCCUUUGAACCUGGAAAGGGUUUACUGGGGUGAUGGUGUGAAGGUGACUGGUUGUGCCCCUUGGUGGUGGUGAGCCUGACCUCUGUGUCGUUGUUUCCUACAGAAAUACACAGCUUGAAAUAUGAAGAAUAAAAAAACCAUUUCUGUGAGGUAGUAUUUUUACAGUGAUGUAAAAGCCAUAGGGACCAUAACAAACCUCAACCCAUUUCUCUUUA
rnacentral:lncRNA from 13 species